AACGAACGCUGGCGGCAGGCCUAACACAUGCAAGUCGAACGCCGUAGCAAUACGGAGUGGCAGACGGGUGAGUAACGCGUGGGAACAUACCCCUCGGUUCGGAAUAACUCAGGGAAACUUGAGCUAAUACCGGAUACGUCCAAGGUUUUAAUCGACCUUGGAGAAAGAUUUAUCGCCGGAGGAUUGGCCCGCGUCUGAUUAGCUUGUUGGUGAGGUAAUGGCUCACCAAGGCGACGANCAGUAGCUGGUCUGAGAGGAUGAUCAGCCACAUUGGGACUGAGACACGGCCCAAACUCCUACGGGAGGCAGCAGGUGGGGAAUAUUGGACAAUGGGCGUAAGCCUGAUCCAGCCAUGCCGCGUGAGUGAUGAAGGCCUUAGGGUUGUAAAGCUCUUUACCCGGGAAGAUAAUGACGGUACC
rnacentral:rRNA from 1 species